UCGUAUAUUAAAGUUGUUGCAGUUAAAAAGCUCGUAGUUGAACCUUGGGUCUGGCUGGCCGGUCCGCCUCACCGCGAGUACUGGUCCGGCUGGACCUUUCCUUCUGGGGAAUCCCAUGGCCUUCACUGGCUGUGGGUGGAACCAGGACUUUUACUGUGAAAAAAUUAGAGUGUUCAAAGCAGGCCUUUGCUCGAAUACAUUAGCAUGGAAUAAUAGAAUAGGACGUGCGGUUCUAUUUUGUUGGUUUCUAGGACCGCCGUAAUGAUUAAUAGGGAUAGUCGGGGGCGUCAGUAUUCAGCUGUCAGAGGUGAAAUUCUUGGAUUUGCUGAAGACUAACUACUGCGAAAGCAUUCGCCAAGGAUGUUUUCAUUAAUCAGGCAACGAAAGUUAGGGGAUCGAAGACGAUCAGAUACCGUCGUAGUCUUAACCAUAAACUAUGCCGACUAGGGAUCGGGCGGCGUUUCUAUGAUGACCCGCUCGGCACCUUACGA
rnacentral:rRNA from 1 species